GGGCCUACGGGGGGCAGCAGUGGGGGAUAUUGCACAAUGGGGGAAACCCUGAUGCAGCGACACCGCGUGGGUGAAGAAGCGCUUCGGCGUGUAAAGCCCUAUCAGUGGGGAAGAAAAAGGACGGUACCCAAAGAAGAAGCACCGGCUAAAUACGUGCCAGCAGCCGCGGUAAUACGUAUGGGGGAAGCGUUAUCCGGAAUGACUGGGUGUCAAGGGAGCGUAGACGGUUGUACAAGUCUGAUGUGAAAGCCCACGGCUCAACUGUGGGGGGGCAUUGGAAACUGUAGAAUUUG
rnacentral:rRNA from 1 species